rnacentral:rRNA from 1 species
GACGAACGCUGGCGGCGUGAUUAACACAUGCAAGUCGAGCGGAAAGGCCCUUACGGGGGUACUCGAGCGGCGAACGGGUGAGUAACACGUAAGUAAUCUGCCCUUCACUUUGGCAUAACAUCAGGAAACGGUGGCUCAUACCCUAUACGACCAGCCUACGCUCGCGGACUUCGUGGAAAGUGUUUACGGUGGGGGAUGUGCUCGCGGCCUAUCAGCUUGUUGGUGGGGUAAUGGCCUACCAAGGCUUCGACGGGUAGCCGGCCUGAGAGGGUGACCGGCCACACUGGGACUGAGACACGGCCCAGACUCCUACGGGAGGCAGCAGUGGGGAAUAUUGGACAAUGGGCGGAAGCCUGAUCCAGCAACGCCGCGUGAGGGAUGACGGCCUUCGGGUUGUAAACCUCUUUCAGCGGGGACGAAGCCUUUGGGUGACGGUACCCGCAGAAGAAGCACCGGCCAACUACGUGCCAGCCGCCGCCGUAACAC